AGCGAACGCUGGCGGCAGGCCUAACACAUGCAAGUCGAACGAACUCUUCGGAGUUAGUGGCGGACGGGUGAGUAACACGUGGGAACGUGCCUUUUGGUUCGGAAUAACUCAGGGAAACUUGUGCUAAUACCGAAUGUGCCCUUCGGGGGAAAGAUUUAUCGCCAUUAGAGCGGCCCGCGUCUGAUUAGCUAGUUUGUGAGGUAACGGCUCACCAAGGCGCCGAUCAGUAGCUGGUCUGAGAGGAUGACCAGCCACACUGGGACUGGGACACGGCCCAGACUCCUACGGGAGGCAGCAGUGGGGAAUCUUGCGCAAUGGGCGAAAGCCUGACGCAGCCAUGCCGCGUGAAUGAUGAAGGUCUUAGGAUUGUAAAAUUCUUUCACCGAGGACGAUAAUGACGGUACCCGGAGAAGAAGCCCCGGCUAACUUCGUG
rnacentral:rRNA from 1 species